AGAUGUUGAGGCCUGUCUCUAGUCUGUUGAGGCUAGAUGUUGAGGCCUGUCUCCUAGUCUGUUGAGGCCUGUCUCCUAGUCUGUUGAGGCUAGAUGUUGAGGCCUGUCUCCUAGUCUGUUGAGGCUAGAUGUUGAGGCCUGUCUUCUAGUCUGUGGACUAAGACACUUAAAUGAUUUUAAGGGAAAUGUUUGUUUGUGCUAUUCUUUUAACAAAUGUCUGUUUUAUUCAUGUGCUGUUCUGUAAACUAAUUUGUGUGUUCAUCAAGUGGCUGACUGUACAAAUCCUCACUAUCAGUAGCUGUAAUUUAGCAGUAAGGCCAGACGUUGGUUUGAGAAGGAGAUAUCUCAGUUUCAAGGUCUCAGUUUAGAGAGAAGAAGUCUCGUGAGGUGUUGGUCUGUCAAAUGCUAUGAACCAGUAUUGGUCGGUCACAUGAAUGAAGCAAACAGUAAUUAAUCAUUAAUUAUACUAAAUCAUGCAAAUGUACCUUGUCUGUGUAUAGCUAUAUAUAAGAAAACUGCUGGGGCUGCCCCAGGCAUAGCCCCUGAUUGACAUGUGUACUAUGGUGCAUUUAGUUGGUUGGAACCUUUCCAGCUCACUGACAAUAAAUAAUGAUUCAUUUAA